AUUGAACGCUGGCGGCAUGCUUUACACAUGCAAGUCGAACGGCAGCACGGACUUCGGUCUGGUGGCGAGUGGCGAACGGGUGAGUAAUACAUCGGAACGUGCCCAGUUGUGGGGGAUAACUACUCGAAAGAGUAGCUAAUACCGCAUGAGAACUGAGGUUGAAAGCAGGGGAUCGUAAGACCUUGCGCAACUGGAGCGGCCGAUGGCAGAUUGGGUAGUGGGUGGGAUAAAAGCUUACCAAGCCGACGAUCUGUAGCGGGUCUGAGAGGACGACCAGCCACACUGGGACUGAGACACGGACCAGACUCCUACGGGAGGCAGCAGUGGGGAAGUUUGGACAAUGGGCGAAAGCCUGAUCCAGCAAUGCCGCGUGCAGGAUGAAGGCCUUCGGGCUGUAAACUGCUUUUGUACGGAACGAAAAGCUUCGGGUUAAUACCCUGGAGUCAUGACGGUACCGUAAGAAUAAGCACCGGCUAACUACGUGCCAGCCGCCGCCGUAACAC
rnacentral:rRNA from 1 species